AACGAACGCUGGCGGCAGGCCUAACACAUGCAAGUCGAGCGAAGCCUUCGGGCUUAGCAGCGGACGGGUGAGUAACGCGUGGGAACAUGCCCUUUGGUACGGAAUAGCCCCGGGAAACUGGGAGUAAUACCGUAUGUGGUCGAGAGACGACAAAUUGAUCGCCAAAGGAUCGGCCCGCGUUGGAUUAGGUAGUUGGGGGGGUAAUGGCCUACCAAGCCGACGAUCCAUAGCUGGUUUGAGAGGAUGAUCAGCCACACUGGGACUGAGACACGGCCCAGACUCCUACGGGAGGCAGCAGUGGGGAAUCUUAGACAAUGGGGGAAACCCUGAUCUAGCCAUGCCGCGUGAUCGAUGAAGGCCUUAGGGUUGUAAAGAUCUUUCAGUGGGGAAGAUAAUGACUGUACCCACAGAAGAAGCCCCGGCUAACUCCGUGCCAGCCGCCGCCGUAACAC
rnacentral:rRNA from 1 species